GAUUGAAUUAAAUUCUUGAAUCUUAGAUGUAUGUUUCUCCUGGAAUACCUCUGGCUAUUUCCAGAAUCGAGUGCUGAUAUAUUACCAGCUGUUUCUGUUGCGAGGGCAUUAAUCAGUGAUCGGUAUCUAGCUUUGGUUGUUGGGUCCCCUCCACCAUCUGGGGUGGUGGUGUAUUUGUUUAAUUUAUGCGUGAUGAUCACAAGCCAUAGAUUUGGCCCCAUGCUAAUAUUCAUUGAUUUUUGUGUUAUUUUAAUUUUUUAUGGUUUGGCUUAUUUUAAUUUUUUUAUGGUUUGGCACCUGUCUGAUGCUCCACAAGGGGAAGAAACUGCCAAUGCUGGAUGUUUGUGACAUUUCUCCUAUGGUUUCCUCGUGUUGUUUGGCAGGUAGUCCCUGCUUGGUUAAGC
rnacentral:misc_RNA from 1 species